UCUAAUAUGGCAGAUUAGUGCAUUGGAUUUAAACCCCAAAAAUAAAAAAAUCUUUUUUUUUAGAA
rnacentral:tRNA from 1 species